rnacentral:rRNA from 1 species
UACGGAAGGGGCAAGCGUUGUUCGGAAUCAUUGGGCGUAAAGGGCGCGUAGGUGGUUCUGUAUGUCUACCGUGAAAGCGUACGGCUCAACCGUAUUUUGUCGGUAGAAACUGCAGGACUUGAGGCUGGGAGGGGCUGGUGGAAUUCCCUGUGUAGCGGUGAAAUGCGUAGAGAUGGGGGAGAACACUCGUGGCGAAGGCGGCUCACUGGCCCGGUACUGACGCUGAGGCGCGAAAGCGUGGGGAGCAAACAGG